AACGAACGCUGGCGGCAGGCCUAACACACGCAAGUCGAGCGCCCAGCAAUGGGAGCGGCGCACGGGUGCGUAACGCGUGGGAACGUACCUCUUGGUACGGAAUAACACAGAGAAAUUUGUGCUAAUACCGUAUAAUAUCUCCGGAUCAAAGAUUUAUCGCCAAGAGAUCGGCCCGCGUUGGAUUAGCUAGUUGGUGAGGUAACGGCUCACCAAGGCUACGAUCCAUAGCUGGUCUGAGAGGAUGAUCAGCCACACUGGGACUGAGACACGGCCCAGACUCCUACGGGAGGCAGCAGUGAGGAAUAUUGGACAAUGGGCGAAAGCCUGAUCCAGCCACGCCGCGUGAAUGAAGAAGGCCUUAGGGUUGUAAAGUUCUUUCAGUGGUGAAGAUAAUGACGGUAGCCACAGAAGAAGCUCCGGCUAAAUUCGUGCCAGCAGCCGCCGUAA
rnacentral:rRNA from 1 species